rnacentral:lncRNA from 1 species
AAAGGAAAUAGAAGAUGUUUAAUUCCAAUACGAAUUACAAAAGCAUCAAUAAAGAGCAAAGUUUGCAACUUACACCUCGUUUCAACUUAAGUUUCAACAACUAUUAAUAAUGGGUGUUCGAGGAUGACCAUCUGCAUGCGAUCGGUCACGUCAGCUGGCAGUGCAUUCAGAUGCUGCACCAAUCCAACGCCGCAUUCAUUGCACAAUAACGAUGCCGCCUCCUUCUCUGAAACAGGGGAUGAAGCUCGCACGAGGUCAUCGAGCGAUCACAAUGCAUCAGAGUGUUGCCAACUCGAAUCUGCACGUCAAUUUCACUACACUAUUUUGAACGACGUAAAAUCUGGUGAAAAACUAGGAGAUUCCUUUCCUCAAAGUCUACAAGGAGGUCCAUGGUAGCAUCCAAAAACCACCUGAAUCGUCUUCACGGCAAAAGUUAGAGUAUCCCACACCACAUAAAGGCGCUUACAUGCAUGCAUGGCCCGACCAUUGUCUGCCCUCUCUACAGUCCAGAAGGAUCGGAAUCGCCCCAGACAUGCUGGAAGUAGAGAUCCAGGAACAUCAUGCAUGUAAAAAAUCCUCUUGAGGUGUCGAAUCUUAUACCAAAUAAUGAUGUCAAACUUUCCCUCCGGCGUGAAAUCUGAAGCAAAGCCCUACUGCGCCUCUUCGAACAGGCCCUGCCCAACUUCUCGUCAAUGGUGAUUGCAAAAUUCAGACGAAGAUGCAAGCCUGCUCAGUCCAAUCAGUCCGAAAAAUCCAAAAACCGACCGAUGGUCCUCACAGAUCAACCUUGUCCUACACCCAGAACAACAACAGAACAACUCCCAGUCCGAUUUCGUGUCUACAUUCCUUACCGAAACCUUGGUUCAGGAGGAUCCCAACAACUCUUGUGGAAGCUGCAACAGUACGCACGAAAUGCUCAGCGACCACCAGGAAACACGCGACGUUGGUCAGCAAAACACUAAAUUGGCCUCAGAAAACUUAGGAUUCCGGACCAAGCCCUAAAUUCUGUAGAGCAGAUCCCACCACCCCAUCACCCGAAGUCUUGAGGUCACACUCUUUUUCGCAGCCCGCUUUUGGCGUCACUAGAUUUCUAAAGGUCUCGUUCUCUGCUGGACUCUAGCAUGCAAAGG